ACUUGUCAGCCCUAUCCUCCAGCUGAAAUUAAAUGCAGAUAAAAUAAAUAGAAUGUUUUAAGGAAAUGGAAAUACCAAGUGCUGGAAUUUCCUGGCUAUAUACAGCUGGAUUUAUUUCAGGCUCUGUGGACAUGGAAAAAAACAUGAGCUCAUACUCCCCAUAUGGGAAAUGUGAUGUUGGUAAGGGAGGAAAACAGAGUUAUAGUCCCUGUUCUAUGGAAACUGCAUGAUUAACCAGGCCAAAGAUGAGAAAAUAGAACUAUCAAGAGUAGCUGCCCAGUUAGAGCUUGGAGAACAGCAUGGGCACAGAGUAUUGAAGCCACUGGAGUAAAUGAAGCCACAUACAACAGCAUUCAGAACAGACCCUUUCUUUCCAACUCCACAGUACUUCUCAGUCCUAUUCCACUUGCUGGACAGGCAGAUGUGCUGUGAACCACUGAGAUAAACCAAUACGUAUGAGGGAAAAAAGGCAACCACUCACUUUUCUGCAAGAUCCAUCCAUGUUUCACAUCAUAGUGUGACUGCACAAACUGACAUGGAUCGACUGCUGGAGCAAUUGAAAGGGUGGGAGCUUGUGGUAUUGUCACCAAACACACUGUCAUGUCAAACCACAGCCUCAGGCAAAGGACUGAAGGAUGUGAUUGGGACCCAGAUCUCUCUCAUCGUGACAGAUUUCCAAGUGUGGAGGAGGUUACAUGCCUUCCUCCAAAAGCUUUGUGAAUCAACCCCAGGACAUUCUUUUCAUAUCUUAACAAUAAAAAUAAAAUAAAAUAAAAUAAAAUCAUUUUCUGCUGGUUUGGGGUUUUGUUUUUGUUUUUAUUUUGGGUGUUCUGUUUUGUUCUGUUGAAUUUAUAUGUAUCUUUCCACUUUUUUUUUUUUCUUGGCUUCAUUUAUCAAGGAAAAAGCCUUGCUUAUGUGACCCCUCCUUUGAAAUAUCUGUCUUUGACUAGCUCUGUAACAGUUUCACAGCUCAUUAAUUCUUCUAUGCAAACUUAUUUAUGAGCACAAAUUAUUCCCCCUUCCUAUCAGUUCUCUACAGAAAGUAGGGGAGGAGAGAGCUGGCACUGGAACGAGUCAUUGCAAGAAUGUUUGGGCUCCAUUUGCAGCUUUCAGGAAAAUAACUUGCAUGUUUGUUCUGUCCUCAUUCACCUGAGAAAUAUACAUUUGUGCUGGUAAUUCCAUUGAAAUAAUUACUGUCUGAGGAGCCAAAGCCUGUUAUCUAGCCAAUUCCCCUCACAAGCCAUAAUGCACAGCUGCAAAGCUCCAGGAGGGCAUUGAAAGGCAUCCUGAAACUUCAUGGUAGUGACAGGGGAGAAAGCGAGGACACCUGGCCCUUCUGGCAUCCGCUGGGGAACAAACUUGUUAUGUGCGGGGAGUGGGGAGGGGCGAGGAGAGACAGGGUUACAGUGGGCUUGUUUGUACUUCCAUCUAAUCUUUAAUCACCUCAAAGACAUUUUUGUGAUCUGUUGAUUUUUUGAACUGUUGCAGAUGGCAGAGAAACCGGGAGUUAAUAGCCUUCUGGGUUCCUACUGGAUUCUGGAUGCUGAAGCAAAAGUCUGCUUUCUUUCCUUUUGCUCUUUGCUCCUUCCUAGGGCAAAUUCCUGUCUUCUUCCUCUUGAAAGGAGCUUUCUUUACAGGAGGAUCAGUUUAUCUCACUUUCCAGCAUGACUGUUUCCACUGCCCAAAGUACCUCAAAGGUCACUCAGCUGCACAGAGCGCUGUGGUGCACUGCAUGAGUCAGUGCUACUCCUGGAGGUCUCAAAGCUGUGCACGUAUCCUCUUGCCAUUCCCAGAAGGACAGAAGCAGACUCAGAAAGCUCAGUGGAAUUUUAUCCCAGAAAUCUCUUCUAAACAUUCUGCCCACACCAAGCAUGCCCUGCACAUAUGCAGAACCAGGGUAGCAGAGCAGAGCAAGCAACAUCCCCACAGAGCUCAUUAUCAGCACUCCCAGCUUGUCACUAUGUAGGACUGCUUCACAAUCAUUCUCUUCGUUGGCAAGGACAGUCUAGGAGCAAGGCAUGAGAGCAGUAGGUAGGGAUGCUCGCACUGCUCCUGUGAGCUCAGAGGUUCCCAGAUUUGCUGAUGAUGUUCCAAGAGACAUGGUUCAUGUUGUAGAAGACCAUCCAUCAGAGAAGGCACACACAGACACCGGGACUAGAGAAUAAGGGUAGAGGCAUGUCACCAGAGGCACAAAGCUGAAAAAGAGGUUUCAGCUCUGUCAUCUGCUAAC